AGGCGGAUAGCUCAGUUGGCAGAGCGCCAGCCUUACAAGCUGGAUGUCGCAGGUUCAAGCCCUGUUCCGCCU
rnacentral:tRNA from 1 species